UCAGGAUGAACGCUGGCGGCGUGCUUAACACAUGCAAGUCGAACGAAGCAACUAUCUUGCUGCAAGAAAGUUGACUUAGUGGCGGACGGGUGAGUAACGCGUGGGUAGCCUGCCUCAUACAGGGGGAUAACAGUUGGAAACGACUGCUAAGACCGCAUAACCCGCUAGUGUCGCAUGACACGGACGGAAAAUAUUUAUAGGGUAUGAGAUGGGCCCGCGUCUGAUUAGCUAGUUGGUAAGGUAACGGCUUACCAAGGCGACGAUCAGUAGCCGACUUGAGAGAGUGAUCGGCCACAUUGGGACUGAGACACGGCCCAAACUCCUACGGGAGGCAGCAGUGGGGAAUAUUGGACAAUGGGGGCAAGCCUGACCCGGCAACGCCGCGUGAGGGAAGAAGGUUUUCGGAUUGUAAACCUCUGUCGCAGAAGACGAAGGAAGUGACGGUAUUCUGUGAGGAAGCCCCGGCUAACUACGUGCCAGCAGCCGC
rnacentral:rRNA from 1 species